rnacentral:sRNA from 1 species
UCCAAGGAUAAGGGGCUUCACUUUUCCCAAGUAGGGGAAAGAGAAGGGGUCUACAGGGCUAGGGGUGGAGGGAGCGGAUGCAGUGAGCAGCCUCCGCAGAGAAAUUGACAAUUUAACCAGGGACCUGCGGCAGAGACAAGGCGGAGACACUCCCUUGCCCAGGAAAGCCGCCGGAGUCCGGCUUGUACCUGGGGAAGAAUCCUUAAGACGGUCUGGCCCAACACUCCUUUGCUCACAGAGAAAGGGGAGAAGACUCCCGAGGGUGAAAAUGGUACAUUCGGAGCUGGAACUCAGCUCACUGACCCCAAGCAGUGUUCCCUUCUUUUCGCCAGGUUUGCAUCCAAGAGAGGGGAGGACAGGGGCAAAAGGAUGCAGGGAGGCUGCUGAUUUCCACUGAAGAGCUAAUUUCCUGUGAGACAUUAACAGUGAUUUAAGAAAAAGAUUCCUGUAACUGUAAUGUCUUACAAUAACAGAAUGCAGGAGAGCACAUAUCAAUGAAGAAAAGACAAAAUGUACUUAUCCAUGAAGCUGAGGUUAAGAAACCAGUGUCUUCAAGAGCCAGGGACAGCACUGGGUCUGUGCAGAGUUGAGAGAUGGUGAUGACAUGUGGUUUCCAGCAUUCCUCGCCCAGUCCAGGGACACUGUGGGUGUGCCCAGCUUAAGUCCAGUCCAGUAAC